UUGCCUUACAUUUACCGUGGUUUCAAUGCAGGUACACGCGGAAAGGCCAGCCAGCUGGCCACCUCUGGGCGGACCGUUUGGCCCCUUACGUGGCAACAUGGGCCCAAGCGCUACAGGACGUCGUUGAUGAGGCGCGUCCCCACACCGAGGGAAACUUUAGGGAGUACCUACGGUGGUACGUACCUCGUACGCGGACUCAUGUCACCUACACCCCUGAUGAUGUCCGGGGCCACGUCGCAUCGACAACGGAGACAUACCCGGUGCAUUGGGACGAGGACGCCGCUUUAGCAACAGAUAUCAUUUAUGAUGUAAAUAGGGAUGCAGCUGCUGCCAUGGACCGCGUCUGGCAAGGGCAUCACCUAAGUGCGUCGGAUGUUGCGAGCUUCAUUAGACGAGUUUUCGACAAGACGACGCGCGCCCUAAAACUCACCUCCUACCGAUCUACCACAGAUGUAGCAGGGCCGCCUCCCAGGACGAGUGGUGCACACGCCGAGUCGUCUCGGCCGUCAGACGUGCACCGACGUUCUUCAGUGUCGGCACCCACACGACCCCUUCUAUCACGUCUUGGAGGGUCCGAGCAACAUGGUACGAAUUAUACUUUUGAAAAUUAUUGAUCAAUAUCCUUUACUUAUUGUUAUUAAACAUUCAUUAGGUCCGUCUACACAAGUGUCGACGCAGCCUCGCAGAUUGAGCCCUGUACGUCCACAGUCAGAUUACUUCGGUGACGAGGCCGGUCCGUCUUCAGCGGCCCCACACCCUACCCCCCCCCCCCCGCAACGUACUACGGCACGUCAGCGUGGCCUUCUUCUGCUGCACCGUCGUACCACGCAGGCCCCUCCAGCCAGUACACAUGGACGCCUGCCGAGCCUUCACAGUCCUCCUACCCUAGUCAGGAGGAUGAGGCUGGCCCCGACACCACAUACGACAUCGUCCGUGACUUCUUCGGGGGCACACCUGACUACGACGUCCUUCAGCGGUCCCAGGUUUCCAGUGCACCGCUUCGGACCCAGCCCACGCAUGACGAGCCCUCGACACCGGUGGUCCCUACUAGGCCUAGCAGACACGUCGGCCCACCUGACCCCCUCACCUACUCCAGGGGUCACGUGAGGGUUAACCAGCGGCAUCGGGACCACGAUGGGGCGCACGGACGACGGCAACGAGGGAGGCAUGAGUAGCAUUUUACAUUUUUUGUAACUAACAUAUGCGUAUUCGCUUCGUGAUGUGCUCAUAUGUAUUAAGACACGUUCACUUUGUAUGGUCGACUUAGCAUUUCGUAAAUGCAUUUCAUAUUCAGACA